rnacentral:lncRNA from 1 species
GGGGUCCCCGACUGGCUGCGGGGACUGGAGUUGCGGAAAGUUAAGUAGGGCCCAGCUGAGGAUGGCUCCUGCAGCGAACGCGCUCAGCCGGGCUCCUGGCUACGCGGCGACGGCUGGGUGACUGCGCCCCACAGUGCGGGCCAGGGCCGGGGCGUCCCGGCAGGGAGGCGACCGUCCCCUGAGGCCCUCAGCCCCUGCCGCGGCAGCGCCUAAUGAAGCGCGGAAAGGAGAGCCCAGAUGGCAGCGACGGGGGCCGAGAGAGCAGGAAUUUGUUAAAAGACGAUGCGAGGGGAGAGCCUGCUUUCCGAGUGAGGGCCAGCGCUGGGGAGCAGAGACGGUGGCUUCUGUCCCUGCCCUCCUCGUUAUGAACCAAAAAUAAAAUUCUAAGCCCUGCAGCCAACGGAUGGACCCUCCCCUCCGCCUGUGGCCUUCUAAGUUAUCUUGAAAAACUAGUUCAGGCCUUGAUGGGAAGCGGAAGUCAAACAUGGCCUCACAAACAUCCGCACGGAGACCCUAAGACUAAUAGAGGACUCUGAUAAGAAACAUUUGCAGUGUAUUCCCGGCUUCAUCUGCAUGAUAACACCUUGGUCUCCACAACUCCUUCAUGCAACCCGGACAUUCCCUUCUACUGAGUCCAGGUCUUUAGAUGAUAACUCUCAACCAGUUGCCAAUCAGAAAACCUUUAAAUGUACCUAUGACCCGGACGCCUCCACUUCACAUUUUACCUCCUAAAGAGCCAACCUACAUCUUACGUAUUGAUUGAUGUCUCAUGUCUCCCUCAAAUGUAUAAAACCAAGAUGUUUCCUGGCCACCCUGGGCACAUGUCAUCAGAACCUCCUGAGGUUGUGUCAAUGCACGUCCUUAACCUUGGCAAAAUAAACUUCCUAAAUUGAGACCACUCUCAGAAACUUUUGGUUUUCACCAUCAUCUUCCUGUUGCCGUGGCUGACCCCUGGCUCUCGUGCCUUGGAUCGUGUUCUUCCCGCCUGCCCCAGUGUUUUGCAACUGCUGUUAACUUCCGCAAUGCCUUGCUGGAUUCGCAUUCAGACAGGCCUAAUCUCUUUAGCGAAGGAAACACCACCCCUCGCUUGGCUGUACUUUUCCCUUUGACAACAAAACUGUUCAGGGAGGCUGAGCUCCUCAUCUCUUGUCACUCCCUCCAGUCCAGUUUGUCUGGUUUUCAUCAAGUUCUGCUGCACUGCCCUCAACCAUGGGAGGUCCUUUUGUGGAAGUCACUUAUAACCUAUGUGCUGCCAGAUCCAAUGGUCAUUUUCUACUUUCAUUCUAUUUGAGCUCUUAGCAGCACUUGAUGCAGCUGGCCGUCCCCCUCCUCCUUUGCUCCGGAGGUGCCACAUCACUGCCUUACCCUCCAGUUCUCUGGCCACCCUGGCUGCUCACUCUGUCAGCUUGGCAGUUCGCCCUCUUCUAGAUUUAUAAACAUUUGAGUAUCGCAAGGCUCAGCAUUGGCCUUCUUCUCUAUCUAGACUUCCCAUAGAUAGUCACAUGCAGCCUGUGGACGACUAUCAUGCAGAUGCUUACAGGUGCCAAAUCUGCAACCUCAUUUCUCUAUUUCUGCUCCUCCCCUGAACUCCAGACUCACCACCACCACCACCUGCAGACGCUUAUGGGUGCCACAUCUGCAACUUAAUUUCUCUCUUUCUGCCCCUCCACUGAACUCCAAACUCACCACCGCCACCUUGGCUUCUCUAUUUGUUGUCUAACUCAGUGCUGCGCAACUCUGUGCAUCAGGGCACACAUGGAGAUGCACAUAGCAUACAUUGGUCUUGCAUUCCCCACUCCAUACACACAUUUCAACACCGGUAAUAGGAUAAUUGUUGGCCAGGCUGCAGUCAUGAUAUGCUUGCCAUUGUCUUGCAUUCACAUCCAAACUUCCAAGUGGGUGCCAGCAGUUUAGAAGAGAAUCCUGAAAUUAAUACUGGGUUACUCUUUAAAGAGAUAGCACAUCACUCACGUUCUUAAAGGUUUAAGGAUACCUAACUGAUUAAUUUCAUGAGUAACUUCCUUUUUAUGUAUGUGCAAAAGUGCUAUAUAGUUAAAAACUUAUGUCGUAUGUCUUAAGCCUAAAGAAUUAUUUCUUGGAAGUAUAAAAUGAAAAUUUUAAGUUGAAAGAGCACAUUGUGGUAUCAUUUAAUUGGUAGUGUUUUUACCCUUAGUGGUACCUAAAACAAAGUUGCAUGUUACGAGCCACAGCAUCUUAGACUCAAUAACAAAUGCUAUUGGUAAGGAACCCUGGGGGGUGGGGGAGAAAGCCUUCACAGGAAGGAGCAGAGCUCCAGAGGGGCCCUGGUGGCCCCUGGACUGCCCUGAGGUCUGACAGGUUGUGUCUCUUUGCCUGUGACCUGUUCUCCAGGUUUGUACUGAUUGGGAAACUCUGGUUGUCUUACAGUAGGUAGCUAGUCGGCCUGAGCAGGGCAGGAGAGGACUCUUCCCCCACAACCCACACCACCAGAAAUGUUGUGUGACCAUCAGGUGAUGGUCAGGAAGUUGUUACACUGUUUCUCUAAAAUAAUAAUUGGUUGCAGUCAGUGCCAGGGAAAGGCAGUCUCCCAGUAGAUAGAAAAAACCUGAAAGUGGUGGUCAGCAGCUUCCUGGUAAGAUCUCUUUGCCACACAUCGAGAGGCAAAAUGGCAACGUUUGACUGGUAUAUGACCUUCUAGGAACAUGAGGCUGGUAAGGGAAGAUUGCCUCAAGUGAGCAUGUGUACACUUCCAAUAAACACACUGCCCCUGCUCACUUUCCAAGCGCUGGCAAGUCACUGUGCAUGUGGACAGCCUACCCCAAGGGAAGAAUCAGGGGAUAAGACUGAUCCCUGAAGAAUCAAGGGAUGCAAGACUCCAGAAGUAUGCCAAUGUAUAAAACCCUAAGUCAAAGGUCAAACCGUGCACUUGAUCUCUAAAGUUACCUGCUUGGCCAUCUUCCAAGUGUACUUUCCUUUUGUUCCAGAUCUAAAGCUUUUUAAUAAACUUUCACUCCUCCUUUAAAGUUGCCUCAGUCUCUCUUUCUGCUUUAUACCCCUCAGUUGAAUUCUUCCUUCUGAAGAGGCAAGAAUUGAGGUUGCUGCAGACCUGUACAGAUUCACUGCCACUAACGUAUUAUAUUUGGGUGCUACGUGAUUCAGGUACAUUCUGCUCCUGACAGUGUGACAGCCAAGUUAAUUUUACAUCUUCAAAGAACUCUUGAUUUCCCACCUAUCGGCAAAUAGCUUCUCCUCUAGAAUACAAUCCAAGCUACUCAUUACAGUGUGGAAUAAUCUGUCUACUCAAUAGCAUUUCUAAUGAAGGAAAUACUGUUAAGAAGGUAGUGAACUUCGCAAAAAAAAGACAUUUAUUUUUCAGCUUCCCUUGUAGCUAGGGGUAGCCAAGUGACACAGUUUUGACCAUGGAAAUCUGCUGGGGUGUUUUGGGGAAAAUUUACAUUCUUAAUAUGGGGACACCCCUUCCUCCUGGUGACAUCAUUUGUACCACCUUGAAUUCAGACAGAAGGCCAAAGGUAGAACAAUCAUAUCGCAACUGUGAGGCAAUCAAAGGCAUGAAAAUCACAAGCUAAAGGUGACAGAGCAGGAAGGUCAAAGGCAUGUGGGAAUCUGAGGGUCCAUGGAGGCGCUUCAGAGCUGUGGACUCCUCGUCCAGACUUUUUUGUUGUGUGGGAAACAAAUUUCUAUUAAAUAAAGUCCUUGUGGUUGGUGUCUUCAUGGGCAGCCAAAUGCAACCCCUAGCACACAUGGCCUACCAGACCCUGCAUGAUGGGGGUCCUGCCCAGUUGUGAGCUCCUCCCUCUUGGCUCCUCUGGCCACACUGGCCUUUCUGAGGUUCCUCUAGCAGGACAAGCCAAUUCUUCCCCUUGGGACUUUGUGUUAGCCACUCCCACUGAGACAGCCAAGCAUAAAGGGGUCCGCAGAGAAACUCUGACUACCUGCACACCGGAAGAUGGGGUGGAGCCACAGAAGUUCACGCCCUUUACAGGGGAGAGGAGCCUGACCUCUUCCCGGGUGGAAUCUGGGAUUCAAUCUGUGACGCGGGAAACCGGCUAGCAGGACUCUUGCUUUGCUGAAAGUCCCUGUUUCCUUUUUUUCCUUUUUGCCUAAUAAAUUCCAUUUUCCCCACCCUUCAAAGUGUCUGUGAGCCUAAUCUUUCGUGGUUAUGUGACAAGGACGCUCUUUUUAGCUAGGCUAACAAGAAAGUCCUACAACACCACUGCCGAGAACUGUCUCUUCCAGAUCCUCGCGUAGUUAACUUCUUCUUAUUCUGGAAUCAGCUUUUCAAGGGGCCUGCUCUGUCUUACUGUCUUUAUAGCACUCUAUCCUCAUCUGAAAUUCCUCAUUUAUCUGUCUGCUGGCUUAUUGUUUUUCUCCACUGACUAGAAUGUCAGCUCCAUGAGGGGAGAAACCUAAUCCAUCUUGCCCACUAGGUAUUCCCAGCACCUAAAACCAUGGUGGGCACAGAAGAAGCAUUCAACAGUUAUUUUCUCCCCAUAAUUCUAGAACAUAGAUACAUUUAAUUUCUCACAACUGCUACCUAAAUGAAGAGUAGCCAAUGAUGACUAAACAGAGAAUGAAAAAUGUAUAUAGCAUAUAGAUGGCACAUGGCCAGUGAUCUUUUCUGACAUUUGCUUUAUCUUGUAAAUACUUUGUGUGUGCAUAUGUGUGUGCACACGUGUGUGCAUGCAUGCAUGGGAGUGUCCAGCCCCUCCAGCCCUAGAUGCUGAGGAUAAAUGUCA